AGGGUUUGAUUCUGGCUCAGGAUGAACGCUAGCUACAGGCUUAACACAUGCAAGUCGAGGGGCAGCAUGACGAUAGCUUGCUAUUGUUGAUGGCGACCGGCGCACGGGUGAGUAACGCGUAUCCAACCUGCCCUUGUCCAUCGGAUAACCCGUCGAAAGGCGGCCUAACACGAUAUGCAGUUCUCAGCAGGCAUCUAACGAGAACGAAAUGUAAAGGAGAAGGAUGGGGAUGCGUCUGAUUAGCUUGUUGGCGGGGUAACGGCCCACCAAGGCGACGAUCAGUAGGGGUUCUGAGAGGAAGGUCCCCCACAUUGGAACUGAGACACGGUCCAA
rnacentral:rRNA from 1 species